CCCAAAACGCUAUGCUAAGACAUAUCUUAAAGAGAAGCGACACUUGUCUCUUCAGGUGAUGGGCAAGGAGUGGCCGGUGUGGUUUCGUGAAAACAGUUACGAUAAAAGGCUCGGAAAUGGAUGGAAACGGUUUGUAGAAGACAACAAUCUGAAGAUGGGUGAUAUGUGCCUCUUUGAGCUGUUGAGAGAUGAGAGAACCAUGGAGGUACAUAUCAUCCCCGCCGCAAACGAUGCCAAUUAUCGGGCAGGUCCCCAGAAUGGUACACACCACCAUGCAUUUACACGCCACCACGUCCCCCAUGAUGCCAGACCACCUCGCCCACAGUUAACUGCAAACCAGCAUCCAAUAUAUAUUGACAGUCCCCCAGCAGAAAAAUAAAAUGGAAUGAACAAGGAAUGGAGGCAUAUGCAGGUUCAGCUCAUCAACGACGCUACUGCACAGUUCUGUAACCUUUGUUCCAAACGAUACCAAAAUAUUUUUAUCUAUUCAAAUCUUAUUAUCCUUCAAAAUCUUUGUCUUUUUAUUCCUCUUGUAUAUUCCAGCUUAAGUAUCUUCCUUAUCCUAAAAGACCGUGCUAAGAGACAAUGCGUUAACUCAAAUAAAAAGCAGCUCACGGGGCCUCGGUUGUCACGAAGACAGUGAAACAACAAAUGCUAAGGCCGUCUAUUUUUACUGUAACAAACAAACACUCAGUCUCCAAGAGCUGGAUUAGUACUGCUGGACGAGCUCUCUCCGCUCACCGCCUGGUCACAUCCUACCAGCAGAGUAGCAGGACCAAGCGGAAGGCAGCGUGAAGAGGAACAAAGCUGACAAGAUAAGCAAGAUAUUCCCAGAAGAACUUGUGUGGCGUUUCAAAUGUGAGAUCCCAGGAGAGAUCAAGCUAGUAAGCCGAAAGGGUUACAGUCAUGCUAUUGUGGUUGCCAAGAACCAAGAAAAGCUUGUCUUUACAGUGGGUUGGAGGCAGUUUGUUGGACAGUAUGAUCUACAGAUGGGUGAUUCCUUAAUAUUAAAAUACAAUGGGAACUGCCAGUUUGAUGUCAUAAUCUUUGAUAAGCUUGGCCGUGAAAAAGCAUUAUCAGUUGUUGUGGAUCCUUUUUUGCCUCAGGUCCAAGAAAAUCCCAACAAGGCACAUGAAAUCGGGUGAAAUACCAGUCUUCACUAUUCAUGCCUUCAUUUCCUGGUACCAAAUUUCACUUCGAAUGGAUUUUGCACUGCAGAUCUUCUAAAAAGAUAGAUGUGCCUUCUGAAAGAUACAAAAGCUGGACUGAAUAUCACUACACAAAUUUGGAUGAUGAAAAGAAAUAUUUCUUAAUGGUUAUGAUGGGUGAUUUUCAACAUGAGAUGGUAAAUUUAUAUCCAAAUGCAGUAACACUCCUUUUUAUCUGUUACUUCGGUGUUUUUCUGUAGACCAACGAUUUUCUACUUUCUACUUUAGAUUAUGUGGAGAUAUAUAAUGCUUUAGAGACAUAUACACAAUUAUAUGUAGUCUUUGCAACUUUUGCUCAUGUCUCAUGUUAAUUUGAUGCCUGGAUUGAAUCCAGCAUGGUAGCACAUUCAGGUAUAUUCAUUUGCACAAAAUUUCCUCAUAGUUCAAAUUGUACCAUGCUGUCAGGUAUAUUGAACAGACAAAUUCACUUUGAUUAUAGAGACUAUAUUUUUUUUAUCCUGGUUACGGUUCAUUCAAACAAAAAUAUUGGUUGUUUUCUCCAGAUCAUCUCAGAAGAAUUUGUUCGGCGUUUCAAGGGCGAGUUCCCAAGAGAGAUGAUACUUGAAACAAAAAAUCGUUGCAGUUACAUUAUUGCAGUUGCCAAGAACCAAGAAAAGCUUGUCCUUACAGUGGGAUGGGGCAUAUUUGUUAAAACCUUUGGUCUAGAGAUGGGUGACACCAUAUUAUUCAGAUACAAUGGAAACUCCCAGUUUAGUGUCAUAAUCUUUGAUACACUUGGCUAUGAGAAGGCACUUUCAGUUGUGGAUCUUUUGCGCCUCUUGUGCAAGAAAGGCGCACAACUGUGAAAAGUUCUCAUUUA